rnacentral:snoRNA from 1 species
AACUCUGAUGAUGUCAAAACAUAAAACUUUCGUUCUCCUGAGAUAUAAAUAUGCUGAAAAAAUUGGAGACCUGAACUGAAGAGUU